rnacentral:rRNA from 1 species
UACGAAGGGGGCUAGCGUUGCUCGGAAUUACUGGGCGUAAAGGGAGCGUAGGCGGAUAGUUUAGUCAGAGGUGAAAGCCCAGGGCUCAACCCUGGAAUUGCCUUUGAUACUGGCGUGCUUGAGGACUGGAGAGGAGACUGGAAUUCACGGUGUAGCAGUGAAAUGCGUAGAGAUCGUGAGGAAGACCAGUGGCGAAGGCGGGUCUCUGGACAGUUCCUGACACUGAGGCACGAAGGCCAGGGGAGCAAACGGG